rnacentral:rRNA from 1 species
GACGAACGCUGGCGGCGUGCUUAACACAUGCAAGUCGAACGGUGAUGCUCCAGCUUGCUGGCGUGGAUCAGUGGCGAACGGGUGAGUAACACGUGAGCAACCUGCCCCAGACUCUGGAAUAAGCGCUGGAAACGGCGUCUAAUACUGGAUACGAAACUGGCCCGCAUGGGCAUGGUUUGGAAAGUUUUUCGGUUUGGGAUGGGCUCGCGGCCUAUCAGCUUGUUGGUGAGGUAAUGGCUCACCAAGGCGACGACGGGUAGCCGGCCUGAGAGGGCGACCGGCCACACUGGGACUGAGACACGGCCCAGACUCCUACGGGAGGCAGCAGUGGGGAAUAUUGCACAAUGGGCGAAAGCCUGAUGCAGCGACGCCGCGUGAGGGAUGACGGCCUUCGGGUUGUAAACCUCUUUCAGCAGGGAAGAAGCGAAAGUGACGGUACCUGCAGGAAAAGCGCCGGCUAACUACGUG